GAUGAAGAACGUAGCGAAAUGCGAUAAGUAAUGCGAAUUGCAGAAUUCAGUGAGUCAUCGAAUCUUUGAACGCACAUUGCGCCCUGUGGUAUUCCGCAGGGCAUGCCUGUUCGAGCGUCAUUUCAACCCUCAAGCACAGCUUGGUGUUGGGACUCGCGUUAAUUCGCGUUCCUCAAAUUGAUUGGCGGUCACGUCGAGCUUCCAUAGCGUAGUAGUAAAACCCUCGUUACUGGUAAUCGUCGCGGCCACGCCGUUAAACCCCAACUUCUGAAUGUUGACCUCGGAUCAGGUAGGAAUACCCGCUGAACUUAAGCAUAUCAAUAAGCGGAGGA
rnacentral:misc_RNA from 1 species